GGGCACAGUCCAAAGCAAUUAUGUCUGAUAAAUGAUGCUUAAACUGGUAAAUAAACCAACUAGUUAUUCUGAGAAUAACUUUCUGUCACUAGAAAGGGAUAGUUAAGGGAAUAAAAAAUUUAUGAACUUAACAAGCCUGAUCAGUUUAGCAUGGGAAUUUCCUUAACUACAUCCUUGGUGAGUGGUAUGCUCCAUCCCUUAGCAGGUCACUACAGCUGUUGCAGUAAUCACUCAAUGAAGCUAAUGCUUCUGCUUCCUGUCAACCUCAUUCAAAGAUUCAGACAGCAGAGCGCCACCUUUCAGGGCUUUUCAUGAUAAAAGAAUGAGAAAUGAAAAAGUCAAAUAACAGCUUAACCAAAGAUCUGGGAGACUUGAAAUUCCAAGAGGACCCCACCCUGACCCCCAACUGAAGCCCCCAGAGAUGGAGAACACAAUGUUUAAAUUUCUGGUACCACAAUCCGAAUCCAGAAUGAGUUGUCAGAAAAGUAAGUGAAGUCCCUUUGGGGUCUUGCUGUGGUUACAGAGAUUUCAACCUAAAAGGUAACUGGAGGCACACUGAGUGAGUGUGAGAACUGAGCAUAUUUAAGUCAAAAUGACGAUAGUCACCCAGAGAAAAAGCAUAAAUCCUAACUGCCAAGAAUAAAAGAAUAAGUGCUCUCAAAAUAGGGUCUGAAGGUCUGGGGGUUUAUAGAUUGAAAGAAGACAAAGGAGAAGAACAAGACUGAGAAGAAGAAAAAAAAGAAGAAAAUUACAAUGAACUGAUUCUUACAAAUGCCCUGUUCAAAAAGAGGAGCACAGGGUGUUGGUAUG